UUUGCUUGGUGUGUGUGUGUGUGUGUGUGUGCAGGAGAGAGUGAGAGACGCUGGUUGAUGUGCUGUCUGGAGUGACAGCAUGUGCUUCUACACCUGCAUUGCUUGCUGUUUGGGGUUUUAGGCUGUGUUUCUGUACAGCACUUUGACAUCAGCUGAUGUAAGAUGGGCUUUAUAAAUAAAUUUGAUUGAUUGAAUGUUGCAACGCCUGGCAUGCUGUUCUGGUCAUCUCUAUGGUGAUCCUGGUGGGAGUCAAGAUGCUGAAUAGACUCUUCAAGAUGAAGUUACCCAUGCCCAUUCCAUGGGAGGUGGUGCUGGUAGACACACACAUAUACACGCACACACAUUCAGAAAUGAGUCAGAAUUGCAUAAAGGUCUGUCUUUCUGUGGAUGACUGUUCCAAUAUGAUGAUUUCCUCUCCUCUGUUCUCUUCACUUUAUCCUCAGAUAAUCCUGGCCACCUUCCUGUCGGUGCAGUUGGAGUAAUCCUGGCCACCUUCCUGUCGGUGCAGUUGGAGUAAUCCUGGCCACCUUCCUGUCGGUGCAGUUGGAGUAAUCCUGGCCACCUUCCUAUCGGUGCAGUUGGAGUUGUGUCAAGGUAGUAGGACACAUACCCACUGGCUGGUGUGUUUGGCCACCCUAAUCUCCACCCUGCUGUUCAACCUGGAUCUGGGCCUGACUGCUGCCAUGGCCCUCUCUCUGAUAACUGGAGUGACUGUAUUCUCCUGCUCCAACCCUCUGUGCUUUGCAAACACUGAGCUGUUCUUCAGCUCUCUGAGGUACUGGAGUUACUCACUCGGAUCAUUUACCCCAUUCCCGCCUGGUCGUCGGAGGAUUCCGCUACUCCAUUGGAUCCACCUAUUUACUCCCAUCAACUCACCACCGCUGCCCACUACGCCACCUGGAUAUAUCUACCCAUUCACAUUCACUUGUAAAUAAAUACUCAUCUUCUUCCUA